GUUGUUGUUGUUGUUGUUCUUCUUCUCCUCCUCUC
rnacentral:sRNA from 1 species